CCUACGGGGGGCAGCAGUGGGGAAUAUUGGACAAUGGGCGCAAGCCUGAUCCAGCAAUGCCGCGUGUGUGAAGAAGGCCUGCGGGUUGUAAAGCACUUUAAGCAGGAAAGAAGGGGUGAAAGUUAAUACCUUUCAUCAUUGACGUUACCUGCAGAAUAAGCACCGGCUAACUCCGUGCCAGCAGCCGCGGUAAUACGGAGGGUGCUAGCGUUCGUCGGAAUUACGUAGGCGGUAGCGCGCGUCGGUCGUGAAAGCCCUGGGCUUAACCUGGGAACUGCGGUGGAUACUGUCGGGCUAGAGUGUGGUAGAGGGGAGUGGAAUUUCCGGUGUAGCAGUGAAAUGCGUAGAGAUCGGAAGGAACACCAGUGGCGAAGGCGGCUCCCUGGACUAACACUGACGCUGAGGUGCGAAAGCGUGGGGAGCAAACAGGAUUAGAUACCCGUGUAGUC
rnacentral:rRNA from 1 species